GAUGAAGAACGUAGCGAAAUGCGAUAAGUAAUGUGAAUUGCAGAAUUCAGUGAAUCAUCGAAUCUUUGAACGCACAUUGCGCCCAUUAGUAUUCUAGUGGGCAUGCCUGUUCGAGCGUCAUUAAGUCCACUUAAGCCCUGCUUAGUGUUGGGAGACUGCUCCAGCGGUGCUACCCUGUAGCUACCCUGCAGCUCCUCAAAGACAGCGGCGGAGUUGUGGUAUCCUCUGAGCUUAGUAACUUGUUCUAGCUUUCGAGUACACCACUUCCCCUGCCGUAAAACCCUUAAUUUUUAAUGGUUGACCUCGGAUCAGGUAGGAAUACCCGCUGAACUUAAGCAUAUCAAUAAUCGGAGGA
rnacentral:misc_RNA from 1 species